AUUGAACGCUGGCGGAAUGCUUUACACAUGCAAGUCGAACGGCAGCACGGACUUCGGUCUGGUGGCGAGUGGCGAACGGGUGAGUAAUGUAUCGGAACGUGCCCAGUCGGGGGGGAUAACGUAGUGAAAAUUACGCUAAUACCGCAUACGAUCUAUGGAUGAAAGCGGGGGAUCGCAAGACCUCGCGCGAUUGGAGCGGCCGAUAUCAGAUUAGGUAGUUGGUGGGGUAAAGGCCCACCAAGCCAACGAUCUGUAGCUGGUCUGAGAGGACGACCAGCCACACUGGAACUGAGAGACGGGCCAGACUCCUACGGGAGGCAGCAGUGGGGAAUUUUGGACAAUGGGCGAGAGCCUGAUCCAGCCAUUCCGCGUGCAGGAUGAAGGCCCUCGGGUUGUAAACUGCUUUUGUACAGAACGAAAAGGUUUCUACUAAUACUAGGAGCUCAUGACGGUACUGUAAGAAUAAGCACCGGCUAACUACGUGCCAGCAGCCGCCGUAA
rnacentral:rRNA from 1 species